GAUGAACGCUGGCGGCGUGCCUAAUACAUGCAAGUCGAGCGAACGGACGAGAACCUUGCUUCUCGGAUGGUAGCGGCGGAAGGGUCAGGAACAUGUGCAUAACCUACCUAUAAGAUUAGGAUAACUUCCGGAAACCGGAGCUAAUACCGGAUAAUUUUUGCAACCGCAGGGUUCAAAAGUUAAAGACGGUCUUGCUGGCAUUUAGACAUAUAUGCGCGGUGCAUUAGUUAUGGGGUAACGUAACGGCUAACCAAGGCGGGGGUGCAUAGCCGACCUGACAGGGGGAUCGGCGACACGGGGAGUGAGACGCGGACAAGACUACUACGGAAGGCAGCAGUAGGGAAUGGUCAGCAAUGGGCGAAAGACUGAAGAAGCGAAGCCACGUGAGUGAUGAAGGUCUUCGGAUCGUAAAACUCUGUUAUUAGGGAAGAACAUAUGUGUAAGUAACUGUGCACAUCUUGACGGUACCUAAACAGAAAGCCACGGCUAACUACGUG
rnacentral:rRNA from 1 species